UCCUAAGGGUUGGCCACAGAAUUUCAAUAGCCCAGAGCCCUGAGCUGGUUGGAUAGUUAACUAAUUGUGUCAAUUUAAAUAAGAAAUCUUCAAUUAAAUAGGAUCAGCGUAGCUUUGAGUGUGGCUAAAGGGAUUUAUUGAAGACAAAAGACCCAUUCAGGGGCAACUUGUCACCUAAAUGUCGUAAAAGGGAAAUGAAGCAGGAAGGCUUACUGCUGUUUCUUUGAAAGAGCUCCAGUCUUCACCCUCACCUCAGGUGUUGUCUCCUAGCUUGCAGGGCAGUCUCCAGCACAGGUGCUUCGGCCUUCCACUACAGACCCUCGGGCUUCCUGACUAGCGCGAAACACCACGAUCAACUGGAUCCUUUGGAUCGCCAGCGCACAGACAGAAGUUUUGCACUUUUCCUCACAUGAUGCUGUGGGAGACCACUAUGUUGCUGAGUUGGCCAGGCUGGACUCUCAGAUCUUCCCACCUCAGCCUCCCAGAAUGUUGGGAUCGCAAGGUGUCCACCGCUACGUUCAGCUGGAGGAUGUUAAUUUGUUGAGGCAUAGGAUUUGUCAGCAGAGACAAUGGAAAAAUUUGAGAAGAGAAAACAGCCCAUAUGCCCA